GCAGUGUAAGGUGAGGGCAACUUUGUGCAAGGGGAGUGAGGCAGGUGAACUGCUCCAUAAGUGAGGAGUCACAAUCCUCAUUGCUCCACUCAUGUUCUGUGACACGGUAAUCAAACAUUUUAUGAAGAAAAAGGCUGACUAAAAUUUUGUAUUUCUGUUUUGCCAUUUUGAGAUGUAGCAAAGCUUGUUAAAGCAUUUCCUUGCAUAAAACCAUACAAAAAUCACAACUAUAUAUAUAUAUAUGUAUAUAUAUAUAUAUCAACUUGCAUCUUGUAAGUUUGUAAUUUGAGACUCUCUUAUCACACAUCAUGCAGCAUAUACCAAACCUUUUAGCCAAUUAAAUUUUAUUUGUAUUCUUUUUGGUUGGACAAUAUAUUCUUGUGGAAACCACUCUCAAAAACACACAAAUAGACACAGUGAAUGAGAGGAAGAAAGGGACAGGGAGAUAUUUUCCCUGACUUUUGGCUGUAGUUCAUAAAAAACAGCAGGAAAACACAUGCAGGAAUGUACAGUAUUUAUGGUGUGUGGGUGUGUGUGUGAGAGAGAGAGAGAGAGAGUGAGAAUACACUAAUAUAGUUGUUGGUGUAAGUGUGAAUAUGUGGUUGUGCAUUCAUUGGAUAUCUGUGAUGUUCAAAGAAUGAAAUUGAUGUGGUGCUCAUACAAAAUAACUAUAGUUACUAGUUUAUAGUAAGUGUUUGUGACUUCAUAUUGCAGAAACUACAAUUUUACCGAUUGUAGUGCAACAAUUUCCUUAAUUUCUUCACACAAAUACGUCCAGGCUUUUGUUCUGUAGGUAACAGUCUUACCAGAAAUCUAGCUGUCAUAUGAAUUCUCUUAAAUUCUGAUCUGCUGAACUGUCGGCAAUAUACAGUAAUUUUGUGUUGUGUUGCCUCUCACUAUCUGCAUUUUUUUUAGGGUCCUACUGGUCCACAUGGAAACCCAGGACAGCCUGGACCGCCUGGGCCUAAGGGAUCCAAAGGAGACCCUGGGCUGUCUCCAGGACAGGCUCCACUGGGAGAGAAGGUAAUAAAUCUGCCAACAGACUCUUUUUUUACUUUUGGUCUCUUCUGUUCUCCCUAGGCCCCUUUGA
rnacentral:lncRNA from 1 species